UCGUUAAUGGAGGUAACAUUUGUAAUUUGUGUAGUGAAAUUACGUCCGCCACCUGUGUAGUGCCAAUGCCAAGGGUCGGCGUGGCACCAGGCAGCCCAUGUGAAGCGGUUGCCUUCAAGUGACGCCCUGACAAUGUGUGAUAAAGGAGUGGUGAAUGAACUGUGGAUGUUUUUCUCUCUUAUAUAAAAGGCGAGUGUCGACCAAUAGGAAACAAGCAGCACCAUAUCCCUGCAUUCUGAUUGGUCCUGGCGGUGACUAACUAACCCAUGGGACUUAACGAGACACGAGGACCUGGGGGAGUCUUUUAUAAG